CUUCUUCGAUCUCUCGUUUUGUCUGCUUCUAUUGCUGCUGCUAAAUCCGGUCUUUAUUUUUAUUCAAACAUUGACACAGACCCAACAAGACCAUCCUUAUGGAUUUCUGUUAAUAUCCCAAAGCAUGAUCAUCCAUCUUGGUGGCCAUGGAGAACUUGGGGACCAAUGUUUCUUCAGCCCUCUUUUAAUUGCCUAGGAAAUGUGCCAUUGUUUUUCUCUAGGUCUGGAGGAGAGAU